GAUGAACGCUAGCGGCAGGCUUAACACAUGCAAGUCGAGGGGUAGAAGGAGCUUGCUCCUUUGAGACCGGCGCACGGGUGCGUAACGCGUAUGCAAUCUACCUUUUGCAGAGGGAUAGCCCAGAGAAAUUUGGAUUAAUACCUCAUAGUAUGUGAGGAUGGCAUCAUUUUCACAUUAAAGCCACAACGGCAAAAGAUGAGCAUGCGUCCCAUUAGCUAGUUGGUAAGGUAACGGCUUACCAAGGCUACGAUGGGUAGGGGUCCUGAGAGGGAGAUCCCCCACACUGGUACUGAGACACGGACCAGACUCCUACGGGAGGCAGCAGUGAGGAAUAUUGGGACAAUGGGCGCAAG
rnacentral:rRNA from 1 species